rnacentral:lncRNA from 10 species
CUUGCAGACCAUUGGAAUCUGAAGCUCCCAUCAGCCACUACAUCUGUGAACCUGAAGAAGACCUGAAGUACCUGUUUAAAAGACAGCCAAAAGAUAGAGCCAAGCCAGCUGCUAAGAGCCAUAUAGGCUGCUGAGCGCCAUGCCGAGUGUUGAGACCUGCACCAGCUGCUGAGAUCUGCACAUAUGUGAGAUUUGUGUGCCAACAUAUGCAUGCCAGUUGCUGAGGACCAUGUGUCAGCUGCUAAGAUCCCCCCUACACCUCCCCUUUUCUUUGCUCUUAGCUACUUUCAGGCAUUCCAACUAUGCAGGUUUUCCCAACACUCUGAAUGAGGUAAGACAGAGUGUUCAAGUGUUCUGGGCACUUCCCAAGAUUUGGUCUCUGGGAAGUGCCCAGGAAAGCUGAGGAAGUUGUGAUCAUACUUAGCUCUCUCUUUUCCCUGGGGGAGAAACCACAGGCUGAGGGAACCUCUCUAGGCAUGGAGCUGUGAUGGCCUGCAGAAGGGAUAAUGUGAGUAAAAUAAAACUGCUUUUCUUACCCAUUUUAAUACAGUGCUCUCAGUUUUGUACUUUUCUCGGGCACUGCAACUUCUUCAUUGAAUUCUACAAUUCUCAAUAAGGCAUGUUGAUACAUGUAUAUUUGCCAAGUCAGUGUUUUUAUACAGGAAUUCAUGCUGUGACUUCUUAUUCUGCUAUCUUGCCAAUGAAUUCCGGUACAUUUUAAUGCAUGCAUACAAGGUUACAAAACUAUAUUUCCAUUUUGUAGUUUCAAAGCUUAUGUAGAAAGUCUGAAAAAAAAAUUUUCCAUAGGCUAAUGUAUAAUAAUGAAUGAAUGCACUAUUUCCUUGCAUAAUAUAUUUGGUAAUGCCAUAACUUAAAAUUACAACUGACUUAGGAUCAUAUUUUAAAGGCAUAUUUUUAAGUCUCAAUAAUAUAAAAGACAAGAUAAUGACAUCCCUUUUUAAGGGCCUCCAAAAGCUUAGUAAAUUUUAUUUUAAACUGAUUUUAAGGAUAUAAAAUGAGACACAAAAGGCAGAAUAUAAAACCAUGUAUACAGUAUUACCCUAAUACACAUAUACGAGGGAAAAAAAUCAUACAUAAAUAUAAUAGUGGUUAUCUCCGGUAUAACUAAGGUGAUUUUUAUUUUCUCACUUGUGCCUUUUGGUACUUUGUAUUAUAUAAUAAAAUAUUGUGAAGAUAUUUCUUAAUAACCCAAUUAUUAUUAUGUUUUUGAUAACUCGAGAAACUAGA